ACGGAAGGCAGCAGUGAGGAAUAUUGGUCAAUGGACGAGAGUCUGAACCAGCCAAGUAGCGUGCAGGAUGACGGCCCUAUGGGUUGUAAACUGCUUUUGUACGGGAAUAAAGUGACCUACGUGUAGGUUUUUGCAUGUACCGUAAGAAUAAGGAUCGGCUAACUCCGUGCCAGCAGCCGCGGUAAUACGGAGGAUCCGAGCGUUAUCCGGAUUUAUUGGGUUUAAAGGGUGCGCAGGCGGGCUGCUAAGUCUCCGGUGAAAUGUCAGGGCUCAACCUUGGCACUGCCGGAGAUACUGGCGGCCUUGAGAGUGGCGGAGGUAUCCGGAAUGUGUGGUGUAGCGGUGAAAUGCAUAGAUAUCACACAGAACACCGAUUGCGAAGGCAGGAUACCAUACCAUAUCUGACGCUCAGGCACGAAAGCGUGGGGAUCGAACAGGAUUAGAUACCCUGGUA
rnacentral:rRNA from 1 species